rnacentral:rRNA from 1 species
GAUGAACGCUGGCGGCGUGCCUAAUACAUGCAAGUCGAACGGUAAGGCCCUUCGGGGUACACGAGUGGCGAACGGGUGAGUAACACGUGGGUGAUCUGCCCUGCACUUCGGGAUAAGCCUGGGAAACUGGGUCUAAUACCGGAUAGGACCCUGGGAUGCAUGUCCUGGGGUGGAAAGCUUUUGCGGUGUGGGAUGGGCCCGCGGCCUAUCAGCUUGUUGGUGGGGUGAUGGCCUACCAAGGCGACGACGGGUAGCCGGCGUGAGAGGGUGACCGGCCACACUGGGACUGAGAUACGGCCCAGACUCCUACGGGAGGCAGCCGUGGGGAAUAUUGCACAAUGGGCGCAAGCCUGAUGCAGCGACGCCGCGUGAGGGAUGACGGCCUUCGGGUUGUAAACCUCUUUCAGCACCGACGAAGCGCAAGUGACGGUAGGUGCAGAAGAAGGACCGGCCAACUACGUGCCAGCAGCAGCCGCAG